rnacentral:rRNA from 1 species
UCGANCGGGAAUCUUCGGAUUCUAGUGGCGGACGGGUGAGUAACGCGUAAGAAUCUAACUUCAGGACGGGGACAACAGUUGGAAACGACUGCUAAUACCCGAUGUGCCGCAAGGUGAAACCUAAUUGGCCUGAAGAAGAGCUUGCGUCUGAUUAGCUAGUUGGUGGGGUAAGAGCCUACCAAGGCGACGAUCAGUAGCUGGUCUGAGAGGAUGAGCAGCCACACUGGGACUGAGACACGGCCCAGACUCCUACGGGAGGCAGCAGUGGGGAAUUUUCCGCAAUGGGCGAAAGCCUGACGGAGCAACGCCGCGUGAGGGAGGAAGGUCUUUGGAUUGUAAACCUCUUUUCUCAAGGAAGAAGUUCUGACGGUACUUGAGGAAUCAGCCUCGGCUAACUCCGUGCCAGCAGCCGCGGUAAUACGGGGGAGGCAAGCGUUAUCCGGAAUUAUUGGGCGUAAAGCGUCCGCAGGUGGUCAGCCAAGUCUGCCGUCAAAUCAGGUUGCUUAACGACCUAAAGGCGGUGGAAACUGGCAGACUAGAGAGCAGUAGGGGUAGCAGGAAUUCCCAGUGUAGCGGUGAAAUGCGUAGAGAUUGGGAAGAACAUCGGUGGCGAAAGCGUGCUACUGGGCUGUAUCUGACACUCAGGGACGAAAGCUAGGGGAGCGAAAGGGAUUAGAUACCCCUGUAGUCCUAGCCGUAAACGAUGGAUACUAGGCGUGGCUUGUAUCGACCCGAGCCGUGCCGAAGCUAACGCGUUAAGUAUCCCGCCUGGGGAGUACGCACGCAAGUGUGAAACUCAAAGGAAUUGACGGGGGCCCGCACAAGCGGUGGANUAUGUGGUUUAAUUCGAUGCAACGCGAAGAANCNU